rnacentral:rRNA from 1 species
CCCGGGCCUUGUACACACCGCCCGUCACACCAUGGGAGUGGGUUGCAAAAGAAGUAGGUAGCUUAACCUUCGGGAGGGCGCUUACCACUUUGUGAUUCAUGACUGGGGUGAAGUCGUAACAAGGUAACCGUAGGGGAACCUGCGGUUGGAUCACCUCCUUACCUGAAAGAA